GAUCUCCUCAAGUGUUAUUCUCAGAUUGUGCAUCAUCUAUCUUGCUAUUGGAUCUCACUGCCUUUGCUGAACAGCACACAUUAAAAUUAGAACAACUCUCAAGGGAAGCCAGGUUCCAAACAUGAGGCUGUGAGUCUGGCCAGUCACUAGACAGCAUCCUGUAUCCCAGACUCGUGACUCUUUUCCUGCUGCCAACUUGCUCAAGAGCUUCUCAUUACACGGUAGACAGUGAGAGAAACUGUAAACCAGCAAAUUAAGGCCAGAAUUACAAGGGAUGACAUUUUAUUUUAUUCAGACUGAAGACUAAGUAGUUUGGAGUAAUAGUGUGACUUUAUAUUUAAGGGUAUAGAUAAGAAGACAUGGUUAUUUAUGCAGAAAGUAAAUCUCAUAAACAUUUGCUAUUUCACUCGGGAGUAAGGAAUCUUCUCAAUGCUUAUGGAUCACAAUAUUUAUCCUUGGCUAUCCUGGUAAUUGCUAUGUGAACCAUGUUCACCUAGAAGACAUAAAGACCUGCCUACCUCUACCUCUGGAGUAUUGGGAUUAAAGAUGUGUACCACCAUUCCCAGUUGCAUUGUCUUUUGUUUGUUUGUUUGUUUCUUAAGUAGGUUAGAAAAAUCACUUUGAAAUAUGGCAUUGUAAAAUGAGUAUUGAAAAAAAAAUAUCAGACAUCCAGAUACUUAACUAGAAGACUUUUCUAAAGAAGCAGCCUGUGGAUACAUUUGAGCAACUGGAGCAGGAACUGAAGUUGCCUUGGCAAUGAAGGAUAUAGCAGAAGGAUAGCUUGGUAGAGAAGAAUGCUUUGCCAGAGAAGUUCCACAAGGAGGCCUGACUAUUGUAUUUGUAUGGUACUGUUUCACUCUUGUUCCAGUGAAGUCUACACUAAGCUGUGAAGUUGUGUUUUUGAAGAGGAAUCAGAAGGCAAAGAAGCUGUGGCAGUAUCCUUAACUGCUUCUUCUUUUCCUAGAAUGAAAACCCCUUUUGUCCUUUGUUCCUGUUGCUGUCAGCAUAUCACUUAUGCAGAGAGAUAGUGAAUAAGUGGCAAAUUUGGUAACAAGUUGACACCUAGGACUGAAUGGUGAGGAUGUUAAACAAAUCUCAGAUGCUCCCAUUUCAUUAGAUAGAAGGUUUAAAAAACAGCAAAGUGAGAAAAGAGGCUUGGCACUAUAGACAUACCAUGAAACAAAAGAGUUAUGGGCAUAGUAUUUCAGUCACCUCUGUAACUAAUCCAGAAUUUUGUAAAUGACUUGAUCUCAUGGGGAAUCUGAUCUCUGCCUGCACAAGCUACACACAGAAAUAUAUUUCAUAGGUGUCCAACCAGAGGAGUACUUGAAGCUGAUUUGUUGUGUAAAAAUAUUUUUGUACACUGUGAAGAUGUGUCUUUGCUAAAGUGCCUUCUGAUUGAUUUAAUAAACAGAUGAAUGGCUAAUAAUCUAGACAGGAAGAGGUUAGGUCGAACAUCUGGGGAGAGAGACAGAAGAAGAGGAGAUGAAUCUAGGUACGAAAAAGAUGCCAGAGGACAUGGAGAGGAAACAAGAAGUGCAACAUGGAAGAGGUAAAAAGCCAUGAAGCAAAAUAAAGAUUAAUACAAAUAGGUUAAUUUAAGUUGUAAGAGCUAGUGGGACAAGUAUAAGAUAUAGACCAAGCUUUCAUAGUUAAUAAUAUGCCUCAGUGUCAUUUUUUGUGAGCUGGCAGCCUAAAGAAAAAUCCUUUACAUUGAUUUGUAAAGAUAGAUAUGUAUGUAGAUAGAAAAUCUAAAGAUCAUAGUGAAUGCAUCUUUUGUUUGUUUGACUAUUUUCUUGUCAUCAUGAUCAUCACUGCUGUUUUACUGCAAUAUUCCUUAUGGAGUAAUGUGCUUAUUCAAAGGAAUGCUGAUUGUUAUUGCAUUAGAUGCCCCCAAACUAAGCUUUUUUAUUCUUUUAAACAGCUAAGGAAAAAAACCUGAUUAAGUAGAAAGUACAUAUUUUGCUAAUGACCAGCUGUGCUGGGUAGUUUUAUGUCAACUUGACACAAGCAAGUGUCAUCUAAAAGGAAGGAAUACCAAUUGAGAAAAUGCCUCUACAAGCAAGCCUGUAGAGGCAUUUUCUUAUUUAGCAAUUAAAAGAGAAGGCCCAGACCACUGUGAGUGGGGAUAUCCAUGAUCUGGUGGUCCUAUGUUCUAUAAGAAAGCAGACUAAACAAGCCACGAGAAGCAAGCCAUUAUGCAGCACUUCUCUAUUACCUUUGUAUCAGCUCCUGCCUCAAAGUCCCUGUCCAGAAUGAGUUCCUGCAUUGGCUUCCCUCAGCAGACCAUAAUUUAAGAUAUAUAAGCCAAAUAACUUCACUCCAAGUUGCUUUUGGUCAUAGUGUUUCAUCACAGCAAUCUUAACCAUAGUUAGAUACCAGCUAAUACAAAUGUCUUAUUGUUCUGUAGCUUGUUGAGUCACUCAGUCAUUUAUAUUAUUAAGUUGACUUUGUGGCUUCUGUUUCCUUUUUAUGUUUUGUGUUGAGCAGUUAAAUACAUAGACUAUGUUAUAAUAAGAUAAUGUCUUAUCCUGCCAAAUAUGGUAGGAGUCUUACGGAUUAUGAUUAUAUCUACAGUAUCAAACAGCAAAUGUGCAGCGAGGAGCUCACUACAAUGAGACAUGCAGUGAUUAGGUGAGUUACAGUGUUACAAAUCCUAAGUUUCCAUAUCUGCUCUACCAUUUGAGAAGAGUGUCACCUUGGAGGGUCAUUAAUCUCUGAGAGUUUUAUGUUUGCACUUGAGGGUAAUGCAUAAUUCACAAGAUUGUGUUGAGAUCAAGUAAGACAAUGCAGGUGAAGAUAUAUUUUGCUAGCACAGACUCAACAUAGUUCCUUUGGGAGACAAAAUUCCUCUAAGAUUGCCCAGUGGAAUUCAACUGAGAAGGUAGGCAAACUGUUCAGUGUCUAGCAAUUUACUUCUUAAACUCAGGUCAAUUCCUGGACUUAAUUUUAACAUUUUUUAACUUACUAGUAUGCAUUCUAAUUUCAAGUUGCUUCCUAAUUUAAUUUGUACUUAUUUUCAAUAUUUAUCUUUGUAUUAUGUUGUCUGUGACUUGACAUCUCUAGGCUAAAAAUUGGACUGCUUAACCACUAUAAAUGUCACACAAUAAUUUACUGCUUUCAAGAUACUAAUUAUAAUUACUGUAAAUAUUUAUUAAUACAAACAGCUGGUGAGAAUAGACCUUGAUAACUGCCUAAUUGUUGUAGGUUUAAAGUCUUAACAUAACCCUGAAUUUUAUAGGUAUUAUCUUAAUUUGAGCUGGAAGAAUUACAAUAAAAAUUAUCAUCAAGUUGAUGGUUGUAACACUGCAAUUAUUCAUUACAUUUCUGGAAGCUGAGAGGUCCAAUAUCAAGGUGGCAGUAUAUUAAGUGGAAGGAUUUGAUCCUUCAUUGGCACCUUUUCACUUUGUUCAUGUGGCGGACAAAGCAAGACAACUCUCUCUCUGUGUCAUCUUUUACAAAUGUUCUAGACACCUAGCAAAGACCCCCAAUUUUCAAUGUCAUAAUAAGAGAUGAGAAGGUCAAUAUAUUAAAUUGGAAAGUGAACAAAGAUUCAGAACAAAACCUAUAUAUAUUGAGAUUUAUAAGGUUUAAGAAAAUUUCUGUUAUACAGCAGAGAAAUGAAAGGUGAGAAAUUCCAACCUAGUUCUAUAAGUCACAAAAAUAUUAUCUUCUACAAGGUAGACACUACUUGCCUAAAAUAUGAAGUAGUGGUACCAGAAGUCCAGAAUAUGUGUAUGUUUCUGAACAUAGAUAAGACUUAUUUUCUAGUAACAGAGGCUUCUCUGUGCUCAGAUAUCAUCUGAAACUUUACUUACGUAGUAUGAUGCCAUGGACAUCAAAGUUGGUCAUGCUAGAAGAUAAACUUGGAGAGCCAUGAAGAUCAUCAAAUAUAAUAAAUCUACAAAAGCUAUUGUUAGUUAUUUCAAUGUAUAUGGAUUGUUCUAAGAAAAAAAUGUACUAAUAUACUUAACCCUGUGUCACUCUACGAAGCCAUGCAUAGAACAAUUUUACCCUAGUUUUGUAGGGUGGAGCUGGGCCAGUCAUUGGUGAGAAUUUUAGAGCUAAUAGCCAGAGAAGUUCCUGGAAGAAACAAGGAUGAGUUUGUUAUACUGGAAAACAAUAGAAAAGAUCAUUUCCAUUUGGUAAGUAAAGAAGUGAGAGAAGAGCCAAGGAGCAAGAAAGUAACAGGUUCAAAGAUUGAGCAAGCAUUGCCCUUUUCUACCUCUAUAUCCAGUGACUGGAAACAAACUAUUUCAGUAAAUUGUGAAAAUAUCAAAUAUUUGAAUUAAUUGAUAAUGUAGUGUAAGGCAAUAGACAGCAACAGCAAUCCAGCCUUUGGAGCCAAAACUAGUAGUCCGAUUUGAAUGUGUUCAAAGUUGAAUUUCUCCAUUAGGAUAAUGGCUAACAUGAAAGAAACAUUUAAAUUCACUGUUUCCCUAACAGUUUAAAAUAUUUUUUCACUAUUAAACUGUAAGAUAGGGGCUGGAGAAUGGCACAGCAGUUAAGCACACUGGUUGCUCUUUCAUGGGACCCAUCUUCAAUUCUCAGCACCUGCACGGUGAUUGCGUGAUCUGUAACUCUAGUUACACAGGAUCUAGCUCCCUCUUCUGAUCUCUCUAGGGAUAGCAUGCAUAUGGUACUCAGACAUGCAGACAGAACAUCCCUACACAUAAAAUAAAAAUAAGUAAAUCUCUAAAAAAAUAAAAGAUAAGCUAUAAAAUAACCUUACUUAAUGCUAAUAAAAGUGAUGUUGUAAUUAUAACUGUUACUAAAAGACAUUUUUAUAGUC